GUGCCUGUAGCUCAAUUGGAUAGAGCGUUGGCCUCCGGAGCCAAAGGCUGAGGGUUCAAGUCCCCCCAGGCACG
rnacentral:tRNA from 2 species